GCUCAGAUGGUGCCACUGAAUUCCAGCCUGGCAACAGAGCAAGACUCCAUGUCAAUUAAAAAAAAAAAAGACAAAGAUCUCAUCUAGAGCCAUGUCUCCUGUUAAUUUAAAUCGAGACCCUUGAUGACUCAAUCUAAAGACACCUGAAGCCACUGUACCCCAGAAUUUAACUCAGGAAUCCACUUUAUUCUAUGGUUUAUGAAAAUGUGACUUUCCUUUGUAAGUCUGAUUGUUCAACAUGCAAUGUCUUCAUGAAUGGUAAUCUACCUUGACACCCAGUAAAGUCAUCCUUUUCC